AAGCUGUUAGUUUAAGAAAAACACUUGAUUUCGGCUCAAGAAUUUAUGGUUAAAGUCCAUAACCGCCUA
rnacentral:tRNA from 1 species